CAAACGACUCUCGGCAACGGAUAUCUCGGCUCUCGCAUCGAUGAAGAACGUAGCGAAAUGCGAUACCUGGUGUGAAUUGCAGAAUCCCGCGAACCUUCGAGUCUUUGAACGCAAGUUGCGCCCGAGGCCUUCGGGUCGAGGGCACGCCUGCCUGGGCGUCACGC
rnacentral:rRNA from 1 species